UGAAAAUCGUGAAAAAUGUUACAACGUCUUUUCUUCUUGCAAAUCCAUACGGGCGGCAAAGUUAUUGGUUGGCUUUGGAGUAUAUUAUCGUUCUUGGCAAUAGCACUUCUUUUGAAUAGUUUAGUAAAAAGAAGCCACCCUGAUGUUAUUUUUUGUGUGAUGACCCUUUGUUUGUCUCUUUUUCUGUUUCUACUCAUUGCGUCAAUUCUGCUCAUAGUAGGCAUAAAGAAGAAUUCGCACGUGUUGCUGUUGCCCUGGCUAAUUUCAUUUGUGUGUUUCUUAGUUGUCAA